AGGGAAUAGAUACCCGGGUAGUCCUGGCCCUAAACGCUGCUCGCUCGUUCUGCGGAGUAUCGACCCUCUGCGGACUAAAGCUAAACGCGGUAAGCGAGCCGCCUGGGUAGUACGAGCGCAAGCUUAAAACUCAAAGGAAUAGACGGGGACGUUGCACAAGCGGUGGAUCAUGUGGCUUAAUUCGUCGAUAAGCGAAGAACCUUACCCAGGCUAGAAACCAAACUGCAUCUCACCCGAAAGGGAGAGAGCCUUCGGGGGUGUUUGGCAGGUGAUGCAUGGUUGUCGUCAGUUCGUGGCUUGAGCUGUUCCCUUCAGUGGGGUAACGAACGCAACCCACGUUGUCUGUUAUAUAUGUCAGGCGAGACUGCCCCCUCACGGGGGGAGGAAGGUGUGGAUGACGCCAAAUCAGCAUGUCCCUUGAUGCCUGGGGCUGCACACGUGAUACAAUGGUAGGUAACAGAAGGACGCAAUACCGUAAGGUGGAGCAAAUCCCUAAACCCUACCCACGUACGGAUUGAGGUCUGCAACCGACCUCAUGAAGCCA
rnacentral:rRNA from 1 species